AAAUUGAAAAGGCACACUUAUUGAAAAAUAAGGUCGCAAAGUUUUGGGUCUAAGGAAGUUAAUUCUAUGAUUGCCAAGCCACCAAA
rnacentral:ncRNA from 1 species